AUUGAACGCUGGCGGCAGGCCUAACACAUGCAAGUCGAACGGUAGCACAGAGAGCUUGCUCUCGGGUGACGAGUGGCGGACGGGUGAGUAAUGUCUGGGAAACUGCCCGAUGGAGGGGGAUAACUACUGGAAGCGGUAGCUAAUACCGCAUAACGUCGCAAGACCAAAGUGGGGGACCUUCGGGCCUCACACCAUCGGAUGUGCCCAGAUGGGAUUAGCUAGUAGGUGGGGUAAUGGCUCACCUAGGCGACGAUCCCUAGCUGGUCUGAGAGGAUGACCGGCCACACUGGAACUGAGACACGGUCCAGACUCCUACGGGAGGCAGCAGUGGGGAAUAUUGCACAAUGGGCGCAAGCCUGAUGCAGCCAUGCCGCGUGUAUGAAGAAGGCCUUCGGGUUGUAAAGUACUUUCAGCGGGGAGGAAGGCGGUGAAGUUAAUAACUUCACCGAUUGACGUUACCCGCAGAAGAAGCACCGGCUAACUCCGUGCCAGCCGCCGCAGUAA
rnacentral:rRNA from 1 species